AUUGAACGCUGGCGGCAGGCUUAACACAUGCAAGUCGAGCGAGCGGCGGACGGGUGAGUAAUGUCUGGGAAACUGCCUGAUGGAGGGGGAUAACUACUGGAAACGGUAGCUAAUACCGCAUACCAUCAGAUGUGCCCAGAGGGGAUUAGCUUGUAGGUGGGGUCAUGGCUCACCUAGGCGACGAUCCCUAGCUGGUCUGAGAGGAUGACCAGCCACACUGGAACUGAGACACGGUCCAGACUCCUACGUGAGGCAGCAGUGGGGAAUAUUGCACAAUGGGCGCAAGCCUGAUGCAGCCAUGCCGCGUGUGUGAAGAAGGCCUUCGGGUUGUAAAGCACUUUCAGUCGGGAGGCGUUACCGACAGAAGAAGCACCGGCUAACUCCGUGCCAGCCGCCGCGGUAAUAC
rnacentral:rRNA from 1 species